UUAGAGAGUUUGAUCCUGGCUCAGGGUGAACGCUGGCGGCGCGCUUAAUGCAUGCAAGUCGCGCGUGUCCGUGGCUUCGGCCACAUAUGGAAAAGCGGCAGACGGCUGAGUAACGCGUGAGUAACCUGCCCUCUGGUGGGGUAUAGCCACGAGAAAUCGUGAUUAAUCCCGCAUAAGAUCUCUUUACCUUGGUAUUGAGAUGAAAGCCUUCGGGCGCCGGAGGAGGGGCUCGCGUCCUAUCAGGUUGUUGGUGAGGUAAUGGCUCACCAAGCCUA
rnacentral:rRNA from 1 species